GGGACAACCAGCCGAAAGGUUGGCUAAUACCGCAUGAGUUCUACGGAAGAAAGAGGGGGACCCGCAAGGGCCUCUCGCGAGCGGAGCGGCCGAUGACUGAUUAGCCUGUUGGUGAGGUAACGGCUCACCAAAGCAACGAUCAGUAGCUGGUCUGAGAGGACGACCAGCCACACUGGGACUGAGACACGGCCCAGACUCCUACGGGAGGCAGCAGUGGGGAAUUUUGGACAAUGGGCGCAAGCCUGAUCCAGCUAUUCCGCGUGUGGGAUGAAGGCCCUCGGGUUGUAAACCACUUUUGUAGAGAACGAAAAGACACCUUUUAAAAAAGGGUGUUGCUGACGGUACUCUAAGAAUAAGCACCGGCUAACUACGUGCCAGCAGCCGCGGUAAUACGUAGGGUGCGAGCGUUAAUCGGAAUUACUGGGCGUAAAGGGUGCGCAGGCGGUUGAGUAAGACAGAUGUGAAAUCCCCGAGCUUAACUCGGGAAUGGCAUAUGUGACUGCUCGACUAGAGUGUGUCAGAGGGAGGUGGAAUUCCACGUGUAGCAGUGAAAUGCGUAGAUAUGUGGAAGAACACCGAUGGCGAAGGCAGCCUCCUGGGACAUAACUGACGCUCAGGCACGAAAGCGUGGGGAGCAAACAGGAUUAGAUACCCU
rnacentral:rRNA from 1 species